rnacentral:rRNA from 1 species
GUGAGGAAUAUUGGUCAAUGGGCGCGAGCCUGAACCAGCCAAGUAGCGUGAGGGAUGACUGCCCUAUGGGUUGUAAACCUCUUUUGCAGGGGGGUAAAGUGGUUCACGUGUGGACCAUUGCAAGUACCCUGCGAAUAAGGAUCGGCUAACUCCGUGCCAGCAGCCGCGGUAAUACGGAGGAUCCGAGCGUUAUCCGGAUUUAUUGGGUUUAAAGGGAGCGUAGGCGGGGGUUUAAGUCAGCUGUGAAAUGCCGUGGCCCAACCAUGGAACUGCAGUUGAAACUGGACCUCUUGAGAGUACAUAAGGAAGGCGGAAUUCGUGGUGUAGCGGUGAAAUGCGUAGAUAUUAGGAAGAACACCAGUGGCGAAGGCGACUUUCUGGACGAAAACUGACGCUGAGGCGCGAAAGCCAGGGGAGCGAACGGGAUUAGAAACCCGUGUAGUCC